rnacentral:rRNA from 1 species
GCUACGGGUGGCAGCAGUGAGGAAUAUUGGUCAAUGGGCGCGAGCCUGAACCAGCCAAGUAGCGUGAAGGAUGACUGCCCUACGGGUUGUAAACUUCUUUUAUAAAGGAAUAAAGUGAGGCACGUGUGCCUUUUUGUAUGGACUUUAUGAAUAAGGAUCGGCUAACUCCGUGCCAGCAGCCGCGGUAAUACGGAGGAUCCGAGCGUUAUCCGGAUUUAAUGGGGUUCAAGGGAGCUCAUAUGGGUUGUUAAGUCAGUUGUGAAAGUUUGCGGCUCAACCGUAAAAUUGCAAUUGAUACUGGCAGUCUUGAGUACCGUUGAGGUAGGCGUAAUUCGUGGUGUAGCUG